rnacentral:lncRNA from 1 species
ACACAUUCUCAACUGCCAGGGGUCCCCAGACAACAAAGAGGGGUGGCCUCUUCUUCCUUAGAAUUAUUCAAAGUCCCCAAUUCCUAGGAAGCCCACCAAACCUAGCUACUACCACUCUGCUUGUCAUACAUCAAUCAGCUGCUUCCUACAGCUCCAGCUGUUGCUACCCUGUCCCCAGGGGAAACUCCUGCGUUGUCCUGCGAGAAAGCUUUCUCUCAUUUGGAGCCGUAAGUAGCAAAAUGUUCUACCUUUCACUUUCCCAGCGUGCCUUUGUGCUGUGUCCUGUCAUCCGAAGAAUCUAUCAUCAUACCUGAUAUCUUAAGAAUCAUAGAAUAGCCACAUAUUGUAUUAUUCCAUUUAUGUGAAAUAUUCAGAAUGGGAAAACCAUAGAGAAGAAAAAUCAGAUUUGUGGCUGCCAGGGGCCAGAAGGAAGGACAAAGGGGAGUGACAAGUGGGCGUGUUCCAUUUGGGUUGGUGAAAAAUUUCUGCAGUUAGAUACAGUGAUGGUUGCACAUCAUCCAUCUACUUAAUACCACUAUGUCAUACACCUUAAAAGUGCUAAAAUGGCAAAUUUUCUUAUGUGUAUUUUACUGCAAUUUUUAAAAAACUACAAGACAAAAAUAACAUAAAAUGGAGCCUAAGGAAAAAAAGGAGAGACUGCAUGUACAUAUUUUAAAGUAUGUCAGUUUCCUGUGAGUGCAAGAAAACAAAGUCUUGCCUUCUCUAACAGAGGGUACUUUUUUCCUAGAAAUAAACUGACUUUAAUGCAUUUAUUGAAGAAUAAAUAAUACUCUAAUGCCAACAGAACAGCUAAUAUUAAAGAUAAAUAAGACAGAUGUUGGUGGACAUGUGGGAUAAACCUAAUUCUCACCCACUGAUGGUGGACAGGUAAGAUGGUACAACUACUUCGAAAAAACCCUGGGAGUUCUCUUCCUGGCUCAGCAGUUAAUGAACCCAACUAGGAUCCAUGAGGAUUCGGGUUUGAUCCUUGGCCUUGCUCAGUGGUUUGAGGCUCCAACGUUGCCAUGAGCUGUGGUGUAUAUUGCAGACGGGACUCAGAUUCUGUGUGGCUGUGGCUGUGGUGUAGGCUGGUGGCUGUAGCUCUGAUUCACCCCCUAGCCUGGGAGCCUCCAUAUGCCCCGGGUCUGGCCCUAAAAUAGCAGAAACAAAACAAAACAAAAAACAACCUGAUAGCUUCUUAUGUAACUAAACAUAUGCCUAUCCUAUGACCCACAAAUUCCAUUCCUAGGUAUUUACCCAAGAUAAAUGAAAACAAAUGUCCACAAAAAGACUUGUACAAAGAACAUUCACAGCAGCUUUAUUCAUAAGAGCCUGAAAUGGAAACAGCUCAACUGUUUGGCAGAUGGAGAAUCAAUCCCAAGCUAUGUUCUUCACACAGUGGUCUACUAUUCAGGAAAAAAGAGAAGCGAACUAUUGAUACAACAUGAAUGAAUCCUAAAACAUUAUACUGAGUAAAAGAAACCUUGCAUAAAGAGUAUAUACUGAAUGUUGAAUCCUUAUGUUUUACACCUGAAACUCAUACAUAGUUGUAAGUCAACUAUAUUCAAUUUUUUUAUAAAAGAGCACUUUUUUGGUGACAAAAUUUCAGAACAAUGGUCGCCUAAGGGCAGAUGGGGGUAGGGCUUUAUUGGGAGAGAGUGUGAGGGAAUUUCCUGUGUGUGAUGUUUUCUGUUCUGUGUCUUGUUAGUGAUUUAGUUUGCACAUGUGUUAAUAUUUGCUGGACCUCACGAUCCACUUAAGAACUGUGCUUUCACUUUAUUUAAAUCUUACCUUUAAAGAAACAAAAGGAAACUAUAAAAAUAUUGAAUUCUAGUUAGUGAUAUACAUGCUGGAGUCUUUUGGGGGGAUGUAUGCUAAUGUCUGCAACUUGCUUUGAAAUGUGUAAAAAACGAGAUGAUUGGUAAAUGGGAACUGAGAUGAAUAAAUGCAUAGGUUAAGUAAGAAUAGUAAAAUAUGAAUGGUAGAAUUUAGGUGGUAUAUAUAUGGAUGUUCACUGAAGCACUUUUUUUACCUUUUAUGUGUGUUUGGAAAUUGUUUAUAAUAAGAUAUAGGGAGAAAUAAUAAAAUACACAUCAUCAAACUCACCCUUAAUGUUUGGAGUCUUAAAAUGCAGCAAGGAAAUAAGACAUAUUUUUUGAAAACAGGCCAAGUACCCCAAAUUCUAAGAACUGUUUUUUUUGGUCUAAAAAUCACCACAAGCAGCCACAAAGCUUCUUUGUCCGACUUGACUGUGCUGACUUUUGACAGCUGGGCCAAAAUGUUUGUAGCCAAAGGCAUACAAGCUUCUUAGUAUCAAUUACUAAGCUUAAAUGGCCAAUUACACUGUGAACUGAUGAAACCCUCUAAUUUGCUGGAAUGGAUUCUUUAUUGCUUGAGAGUAGCCACUCUGCAACUUUGACAGCCCUAACCGCAGGAAUUUACCCAGAACACAGAUUGGGAUUUGAACCCACCGUUUUAAAUAAGAAUUACUCACCCUGUGUCUGGAUUCACGAAGGUCCAGGUUCCUUAUGCCUCCGCGCUGGAAUUCAGCGAGAGACAAAGUGAUAGGCAAGAAAGAGAUUUAUUAAGAUAAAAUGCUUGCGAGAGAUGCCAGCGGGCAGGCAUGGAAGCUUCUGCCUGAGGAGCUGCUGGAGCCUUUUAUCAUCCAAGGGUCGUGGGGGUUGGAAGGGCCCACCUCUUCCUUUCUGGGAGUAGUAGCUCCUCCCUAGUAUCUAGGAGGGUGUGUAUUCAAAUCAGCUGAAGGGUGGUCCUCAAACUCCUGCCCUUGGGCUGACUCUGAAAGCAGGCCUCAUCCCAAUCCCCACCCAACGACCUGAGGCAAUUCUCGCACCUCCACUAGUCCAGCAAGCCUGCCUUGUGCUGAUGGCUUUCUUGAACCUACAGUGGUCUCCCCACAUACCCCAGGUUUCCCUCUUUAUCUGUGAUCUCCAACUGGGACUUCUAAAACCACCUGUGCCUCCUCCAACCAUCUGUGCCUCCUCCAUCCCUAUCAACAUCAGUCUCAAUCUCCUUCCCAGCCAAUAUUCACCUGUGGUCCUUUGUAGCCUCCUGGUUUUCCCUCUUCCUUCCUUUCACCCUUUGUUGCUGUUACCUUCCUUAAGGAAGAGCACAAGGGAGUUCCUGCUGUGGCUCAUCGGAAACAAAUCUGAACUGAAUCCAUGAGGAUGCAGGUUCGAUCCCUGGCCUAGCUCAAUAGGUUAAGGAUCCGGCGUUGCCGUGAGCUGUGGUGUAGGUCACAGAUGUGGCUCGGAUUCUGAGUUUCUGGGGUUGUAGUGCAGGCUGGCAGCUGCAGCUCCCAUUCGACCCCUAGCCUGGGAACUUCCAUAUGCUGCAGGUGUGG